GAUGAACGCUGGCGGCGUGCCUAAUACAUGCAAGUCGAGCGAACAGACGAGGAGCUUGCUCCUCUGACGUUAGCGGCGGACGGGUGAGUAACACGUGGAUAACCUACCUAUAAGACUGGGAUAACUUCGGGAAACCGGAGCUAAUACCGGAUAAUAUAUUGAACCGCAUGGUUCAAUAGUGAAAGACGGUGUUGCUGGCACUUAUAGAUGGAUCCGCGCCGCAUUAGCUAGUUGGGAAGGUAACGGCUUACCAAGGCGACGAUGCGUAGCCGACCUGAGAGGGUGAUCGGCCACACUGGAACUGAGACACGGUCCAGACUCCUACGGGAGGCAGCAGUAGGGAAUCUUCCGCAAUGGGCGAAAGCUUGACGGAGCAACGCCGCGUGAGUGAUGAAGGUCUUCGGAUCGUAAAACUCUGUUAUUAGGGGAGAACAAAUGUGUAAGUAACUAUGCACGUCUUGACGGUACCUAAUCAGAAAGCCACGGCUAACUACGUG
rnacentral:rRNA from 1 species